GACUGGGCAUCAGACUAUUUGAGAGGGGACCAACCCCUUAAAGACAUGGUUGAUCCGACUCUAGACUCCAUUGAAAAGGAGAAGGUGGAAAGAAUUGGUGGAGUGAUAAAAUCUUGUGUCCACCCAGAUCCAGAGCAAAGACCAGCAAUGAGAGAAGUCACUGCAAAAUUAAGAGAGAUAACAGGAAUAACGCCAGAUGCAGCAACACCAAAACUCUCUCCUCUUUGGUGGGCAGAGCUUGAAAUUUUUUCACCAGAUGCUAGCUAAAAUAGGAGGACCAGACUGUAAGUACGAGCUUAAGUUCUCAUUGGCCCUAGCAUAUAGUUGGCGAGGCACAAAAAAGCAGUUACCUAUAAGUUUAUACUCGUGUCUGAGAGUUGCUUGUAUAUAACUUAGGAAGGGCGGAAAUAUGGUAAAUCCUUUCCAUUUUCUUUUAAUAUUUUAUUUCUUUUGGAUUUUCUAUUUGGAAUCUGGUGUGAAUGCAACACAAGCACAUCUAUAUACAGGGUUGUUAGUGAUGUCUCUCUCUCUCCCCUCACCCUCUCCCUCUCCAUGGAGUGUGAAUGAUUUUUAAUAAAAGCUUAGCAUAUCCUAG
rnacentral:misc_RNA from 1 species